UGGGGUCAGUGCGAAUUGAACGCACGCUAAGGGGUUUGGAGUCCCUCGUUCUACCUUUAAACUAUGAUCCC
rnacentral:tRNA from 1 species